rnacentral:tRNA from 1 species
GUUAUAAUAGCUUAAUACUUUAAAGCAUUGGUUUUGUAAACCUAAGAUUGAAUAUACUAAACUAUUCUUAUAAC